GGCCAUUUGACUUCUCAACGUUGCAGUUGUAUUAUCCAAUUGACUUCUUAACAUUGCAAUUGUAUUAUCCUUAUCAGCGUUGGACAAUUGUAGUUCCUCAAUGUUCCUCGUAAAUGCCUGUAUUUUACCAUUUGCAUGCUCUAGCUCAGUACAUUUUCUCCUCAAUUGCUCAGUCAUGUCGUGCUCCAGUUUGUUGAACUGGUUCCAAAUAAAAUUCUUU
rnacentral:misc_RNA from 1 species